GAUGAACGCUAGCGGCAGGCCUAAUACAUGCAAGUCGAGGGGUAGUAAGUAGCAAUAUUUAUGAGACCGGCGCACGGGUGCGUAACACGUAUGCAACCUACCUUUUACUGGGGCAUAGCUCAGAGAAAUCUGAAUUAAUUCCCCAUAACACUGCAGAUCGGCAUCUUUCAGCAGUUAAAGCUCCGGCGGUAAAAGAUGGGCAUGCGGAACAUUAGCUAGUUGGUGAGGUAAAGGCUCACCAAGGCGACGACGGGUAGCCGGCCUGAGAGGGCGACCGGCCACACUGGGACUGAGACACGGCCCAGACUCCUACGGGAGGCAGCAGUGAGGAAUAUUGGUCAAUGGGCGGAAGCCUGAACCAGCCAUGCCGCGUGCAGGAUGACGGCCCUACGGGUUGUAAACUGCUUUUCCCCGGGGCGAAUAACCCCCUCGCGAGGGGGGAUGCCGGUACCGGGGGAAUAAGGAUCGGCUAACUACGUG
rnacentral:rRNA from 1 species